rnacentral:rRNA from 1 species
UCCUUAGAUGUUCUGGGCCGCACGCGCGCUACACUGAUGCAUUCAACGAGCCUAGCCUUGACCGAGAGGUCCGGGUAAUCUUUGAAACUGCAUCGUGAUGGGGCUAGAUUAUUGCAAUUAUUAAUCUUCAACGAGGAAUGCCUAGUAAGCGUGAUUCAUCAAAUCGCGUUGAUUACGUCCCUGCCCUUUGUACACACCGCCCGUCGCUCCUACCGAUUGAGUGUGUUGGUGAGGAGUUUGGAUUGGCCUCGGAAGGUGGUUCGCCACCGUCCGUAGCUGAGAAGUUCUCCAAACCGCCCCACUUAGAGGAAGGAGAAGUCGUAACA